rnacentral:rRNA from 1 species
UACGGAGGGUGCGAGCGUUGUCCGGAAUCACUGGGCGUAAAGGGCGCGUAGGCGGCCUGAUAAGUAGGGGGUGAAAUCCUGCGGCUUAACCGCAGGGCUGCCUUCUAAACUGUCAGGCUAGAGCACGGUAGAGGCAGAUGGAAUUCCCGGUGUAGCGGUGGAAUGCGUAGAGAUCGGGAAGAACAUCAGUGGCGAAGGCGGCCUGCUGGGCUGUUGCUGACGCUGAGGCGCGACAGCGUGGGGAGCAAACAGG